AGAGUUUGAUCAUGGCUCAGAUUGAACGCUGGCGGUAUGCCUAACACAUGCAAGUCAACGAGGUAGCAAUACCUAGUGGCGGACGGGUGAGGAAUACGUAGGGAUCUGCCCUUAAGUGGGGGAUAACCCGGGGAAACCCGGAUUAAUACCGCAUGAUCUCGCAAGAGCAAAGAGGGGGACCGCAAGGCCUCUUGCUUUUGGAGGAACCUACAUCGGAUUAGCUAGUUGGUGAGGUAAUGGCUCACCAAGGCGACCAUCCGUAACUGGUCUGAGAGGAUGAUCAGUCACACCGGAACUGACACACGGUCCGGACUCCUACGGGAGGCAGCAGUGGGGAAUAUUGGACAAUGGGCGAAAGCCUGAUCCAGCAAUACCGCGUGUGUGAAGAAGGCCUUCAGGUUGUAAAGCACUUUAAGUUGGGAAGAAAAAGCUUCACCUAAUACGUGAAGCCUUGACGGUACCGACUGAAUAAGCACCGGCUAACUCUGUGCCAGCGGCCGCGGUAAUACAGAGGGUGCUAGCGUUAAUCGGAUUUACUGGGCGUAAAGCGUGCGUACGUGGUUUGAUAACUCGAUUGUGAAAGCCCCGGGCUUAACCUGGGAAUUGCGGUCGAUACUGUCAGACUCGAAAACGGUAGAGGGAGGUGGAACUCCAGGUGUAGCGGUGUAAUGCGUAGAUAUCUGGAAGAACACCGAUGGCGAAAGCAGCUUCCUGGGCCUGUUUUGACACUGAGGCACGAAAGCGUGGGUAGCAAACAGGAUUAGAUACCCCGGUAGUCC
rnacentral:rRNA from 1 species